rnacentral:rRNA from 1 species
AUGGGCGAUGGGGUAGAAGAAGAAGGGAGGUCAAACACAAAUCAGAAAAGAGUUGAAGAAGAUGUUGUACCUGACGAGCAGCAAGAAAGAAGAUCGCCAAAGAGGAAUCAGCAACAGGAUCCACAGGUCAGCAAAAAAAGUCCCAACUUCUCUCUCCACCUCUCGCAUGAACAGAUCAUGGAGGAAUUUCCUUCAUCAACAAAAAGAAGAUAG